rnacentral:rRNA from 1 species
GAAUUCACUAGUGAUUAGAGUUUGAUCCUGGCUCAGAACGAACGCUGGCGGCAGGCUUAACACAUGCAAGUCGAGCGCAAUACUAUCUUCGGAUAGUGGAGAGCGGCGGACGGGUGAGUAACGCGUGGGAACCUACCCUUUGGUUCGGAAUAACUUUGGGAAACUGAAGCUAAUACCGGAUACGCCCCGUAAGGGGGAAAGAUUUAUUGCCGAAGGAGGGGCCCGCGUUGGAUUAGGUAGUUGGUAGGGUAAUGGCCUACCAAGCCGACGAUCCAUAGCUGUUCUGAGAGGAAGAUCAGCCACACUGGGACUGAGACACGGCCCAGACUCCUACGGGAGGCAGCAGUGGGGAAUCUUUCACAAUGGGGGC